AAAAUUUAAUAUUUAAAGUUUUAUAUAUAAAACGUAUGCUUUUAAUAAAAUAUUUCAAAUAUUUUAUGUACAUGAAAUAUAUAUUUUAUAUUUAUAAAAUGUUUGAAAUAUAUAUUUUAAGUGUUGCAUUUGUGUCAUUUCUGCACUGUUUGAGAUUUACUAGGAUCUGAGAUUAAUCCUGAUGUGCGGUUGCUGCUGUCCUUGUAUGAUGUCAUGAUCAUUCAUCUCAUAAUGAGAUGAAAAAGUUCUUAAUGUUUCAUUCUAGGGUCUUCAGAUCAGCUUUUGAGCUUCUGGCUUCUUCAGAUCAGCAUAACAUGGAUGGUCUUGUUGGUAAGGCAAUGUCAAGGUCAUGGGUUUGAAUCCUAAAAUCCUAAAAACAGAUCAUCUUAGGCUACAGAUGCAUUUUUGUGAUUAAAGGGAUCUUUUGUGGUGUUUUGCAGCCUCAUCUGUUCUGGACCGCACACGCUUUGAUUUGCCACGUUCCCUGCAGCAUCAGCGCUGAGCCAUGAAGACCUCAUGCAAGCUGAACGGAGAGAACCGACCUCCCCUCGACCGUGCAGACGCACAGCGAGGGCCAGGAUGUCACACGAUGUAUUAAAGGGGAAAUCGGCUUUGAUUCUGCGUGAGUUGACUGGCAAAAUGAUGACUAAAGAAGAACCAGAGACAGACUGAGAAUGUCAUGUCGGGCCUGUAUUAGGUUUGGGGGAAACCGGCCGCUUUGAAGGUGCGUUCCCAUCUGAUCUUAAUGAUUAAUGAAAUUUAUCAUUGGAAGAAAACGGACGAUCAAAAAAGCUGAAACUCUCGGAAACUCUCUCUGAGUCUUUGCCGUCACGGCAUCAGAGAGACAUUGAUCAAAGUCAACGGUUGUUCAGGUGAGAUCAGCAGAGACUCCAGGUCUUGUGACCUUAUACUUAAAAAAUGACCGAAAGGUUGUCAAACAAACCAUCAAAGGUUGUCAUACAUGGCAGUUCAUACAGGUUAGCUCCAAUAAAAAACAAAAAAUACCACA
ensembl:lncRNA